rnacentral:rRNA from 1 species
GGAGUGGCGAACGGGUGAGUAACACGUGGGUAACCUGCCCAUCAGAAGGGGAUAACACUUGGAAACAGGUGCUAAUACCGUAUAACAAUCGAAACCGCAUGGUUUUGAUUUGAAAGGCGCUUUCGGGUGUCGCUGAUGGAUGGACCCGCGGUGCAUUAGCUAGUUGGUGAGGUAACGGCUCACCAAGGCCACGAUGCAUAGCCGACCUGAGAGGGUGAUCGGCCACAUUGGGACUGAGACACGGCCCAAACUCCUACGGGAGGCAGCAGUAGGGAAUCUUCGGCAAUGGACGAAAGUCUGACCGAGCAACGCCGCGUGAGUGAAGAAGGUUUUCGGAUCGUAGAACUCUGUUGUUAGAGAAGAACAAGGAUGAGAGUAACUGUUCAUCCCUUGACGGUAUCUAACCAGAAAGCCACGGCUAACUACGUGCCAGCAGCCGCGGUAAUACGUAGGUGGCAAGCGUUGUCCGGAUUUAUUGGGCGUAAAGCGAGCGCAAGCGGUUUCUUAAGUCUGAUGUGAAAGCCCCCGGCUCAACCGGGGAGGGUCAUUGGAAACUGGGAGACUUGAGUGCAGAAGAGGAGAGUGGAAUUCCAUGUGUAGCGGUGAAAUGCGUAGAUAUAUGGAGGAACACCAGUGGCGAAGGCGGCUCUCUGGUCUGUAACUGACG